CUCAUACAGAUUUAUGAAUGGACAUAUUUGAACACCCAGUGAAAGUGCUACUAGAGCUGGACCAACUCGCAUUACUGGUCUGGGACCUGCCUGCUCAGCACCCCUAAACAUCAAAUGUGUCACCUCUGACUGUGUGCCAAUUGACAGGUGUCUAAGCAAACAGUGUGCCACUCCAUCUGUGAUGACUGCCUUCUGUUGUGUUUGGACAGCAGGCCAAGCUUAAGUGGAAAGGGAAGUAGACACCAAAGAGUCCUCCAUAAAAGAGGGAAAUUCUUGGGGUACUAAGUGGAUUACCAGAAAGGUACUGCAACUACUGGAUAGAUGGAUUCAUUGUAUACUUGCCUUGAAGGCUUGAAUUGCGUGAGAGACCAUCUCAGCAAUGCAAGAUUCAAUCAGAAAGCCAUCUAGCAUGACAGAAAGCAGACAUCAACAGAAAUGAAAAUCUGCAUUUGUGUUCUAGGUAUCUAGCAAUGCCAAAGGAGAAGCUUAUUGAACUACUUCUGUAGUGGUAUACCCAAGUGCACACUUCCUCUGAGCUCUAUGAAUGAUGUGUUCUGGUUAGAAAGAAAACUUGAGUAAAAGAUGUUAAAAAGAUGUUUCGGUGCGACAGAGAAAAGUCAUCUCACAAGCUUCUUCAUUUACAUCUUUGAAAUGUGAUUUUCAUU